rnacentral:rRNA from 1 species
UACGGGGGGAGCAAGCGUUUGUUCGGAUUUACUGGGCGAAAGGGCGCGUAGGCGGCCUCCGCAAGUCAAUUGUGAAAUCUCCGGGCUUAACUCGGAAAGGUCAACUGAUACUGCGGGCUAGAGGUGCGGUAGGGAGACUGGGAAUUCCUGGUGUAGCGGUGAAAUGCGCAGAUAUCAGGAGGAACACCGGUGGCGAAGGCGG